AGUGGCGGAAGGGCGAGUAACGCGUAUCUAACGUACCCACAAGUGGGGGAUAGCUUCGGGAAACCGGAGGUAAUACCCCAUAAAACCAUCGAGAGGCAUCUCUUGGUGGUCAAAGGCUUGCUGCUUGUGGAGCGGGAUGCGUCCUAUCAGGUAGUUGGUGAGGUAAUGGCUCACCAAGCCUAAGACGGGUAGCGGGUGUGAGAGCACGGCCCGCCGCAUCGGAACUGAGACACUGUCCGGACUCCUACGGGAGGCUGCAGUAACGAAUAUUCCGCAAUGCACGAAAGUGUGACGGAGCAAUGCCGCGUGUGGGAUGAAGCAUUUCGGUGUGUAAACCACUGUCAGGAUCUAGGAAAUAUGACCAGGUCCAAAGGAAGAGACGGCUAACUCUGUGCCAGCAGCCGCGGUAAUACAGAGGUCUCAAGCGUUAAUCGGAAUUACUGGGCUUAAAGGGUCCGCAGGCGGACCAGCAAGUACCUUGUGAAAUCUCAGGUCUCAACCCUGAGUCUGCUAGGUAGACUGCUGGUCUUGAGUGCAAAAGGGGUCGCUGGAACUCUAGGUGGAGCGGUGAAAUGCGUAGAUAUCUAGAGGAACGCCAAAGGUGAAGACAGGCGACUGGUUUGCAACUGACGCUCAUGGACGAAAGCGUGGAGAUCAAACGGGAUUAGAUACCCCGGUAGUCCACGCCCUANACAAUGUACACUUGG
rnacentral:rRNA from 1 species